UUUUUUUUAAAAGAGCCUUGUUAAUUCGC
rnacentral:piRNA from 1 species